CGCUGCCACCGCACCCCGCCAUGGAGCGGCCGUCGCUGCGCGCCCUGCUCCUCGGCGCCGCUGGGCUGCUGCUCCUGCUCCUGCCCCUCUCCUCUUCCUCCUCUUCGGACACCUGCGGCCCCUGCGAGCCGGCCUCCUGCCCGCCCCUGCCCCCGCUGGGCUGCCUGCUGGGCGAGACCCGCGACGCGUGCGGCUGCUGCCCUAUGUGCGCCCGCGGCGAGGGCGAGCCGUGCGGGGGUGGCGGCGCCGGCAGGGGGUACUGCGCGCCGGGCAUGGAGUGCGUGAAGAGCCGCAAGAGGCGGAAGGGUAAAGCCGGGGCAGCAGCCGGCGGUCCGGGUGUAAGCGGCGUGUGCGUGUGCAAGAGCCGCUACCCGGUGUGCGGCAGCGACGGCACCACCUACCCGAGCGGCUGCCAGCUGCGCGCCGCCAGCCAGAGGGCCGAGAGCCGCGGGGAGAAGGCCAUCACCCAGGUCAGCAAGGGCACCUGCGAGUCCUUCCAUAGUGACGCCCCCCAAGGACAUCUGGAAUGUCACUGGUGCCCAGGUGUACUUGAGCUGUGAGGUCAUCGGAAUCCCGACACCUGUCCUCAUCUGGAACAAGGUAAAAAGGGGUCACUAUGGAGUUCAAAGGACAGAACUCCUGCCUGGUGACCGGGACAACCUGGCCAUUCAGACCCGGGGUGGCCCAGAAAAGCAUGAAGUAACUGGCUGGGUGCUGGUAUCUCCUCUAAGUAAGGAAGAUGCUGGAGAAUAUGAGUGCCAUGCAUCCAAUUCCCAAGGACAGGCUUCAGCAUCAGCAAAAAUUACAGUGGUUGAUGCCUUACAUGAAAUACCAGUGAAAAAAGGUGCCGAGCUAUAAACCUCCAGAAUAUUAUUAGUCUGCAUGGUUAAAAGUAGUCAUGGAUAACUACAUUACCUGUUCUUGCCUAAUAAGUUUCUUUUAAUCCAAUCCACUAACACUUUAGUUAUAUUCACUGGUUUUACACAGAGAAAUACAAAAUAAAGAUCACACAUCAAGACUAUCUACAAAAAUUUAUUAUAUAUUUACAGAAGAAAAGCAUGCAUAUCAUUAAACAAAUAAAAUACUUUU
rnacentral:lncRNA from 1 species